AACAGCUCGCCAGGAUAAGCCAAUGAAGAUGGGUCACACCUGGAAACAACUUCCAUCAACCCCUGGCAGGGGUAAAAAGUCAUUUGUGGAUCCCUUUCACAAAGGAACAAGUCGCCACCCGCUGGAGCUGCACCUGCACCCAGGAGGUCUACAGUGACCUGUGCAGCAGCAAAUUUGGCAGCAGAAAGCAGAGGACUCCAGGCACUGCUCAUGCCUACAGGCUGCUGGGUGAACACCCUCGCCAAAGAAGGAGACUGCAGAAAUCCUCCUUGAUGGUAUCAGCUCACUCGCUCUUAAAUGUUCAUCCACUUUUAAUUAUUUACAACUAAUAAAACAUGUAAUAACACGGUCAAAAUUAUCGGAGUAACUUCCUUUCAAAAAGCACAUGUUUGUACAGUGAUUCUUUAUAUACCUUGAAUUCAACAUAAUCUACUUUUGCAUCUCCCUGGGUUGUGGGUGGAGAAUCCGCAAAGGCACCAUCUGGACAAUGCCUGGGGCUGCAGCAGGGACUGCAGGUGUGGGCUCCAG
rnacentral:lncRNA from 1 species